rnacentral:tRNA from 1 species
GCAACAUUGGUCUAGUGGUUAGGAUUAUCGCCUUCCAUUCCGAUUCGAAAUCCGUAGCCCACAAGGCGAAGGACUCGGUGAGCGAUAGGGCGGGGUUCGAUUCCCCGAUGUUGCA